GGCGGCAUAGCCAAGUGGUAAGGCAGGGGUCUGCAAAACCCUUAUUCCCCAGUUCGAAUCUGGGUGCCGCCUCCA
rnacentral:tRNA from 1 species